rnacentral:rRNA from 1 species
UACAGAGGGUGCAAGCGUUGUUCGGAAUCAUUGGGCGUAAAGGGCGUGUAGGCGGUUUGUUAAGUCAUGUGUGAAAUCCCUCGGCUCAACCGGGGAACGACGCUUGAAACUGGCAAGCUAGAGUACCAAAGAGGGCGGUGGAAUUCCCGGUGUAGCGGUGAAAUGCGUAGAGAUGUGGAGGAACACCGAUGGCGAAGGCGGGUCUCUGGGCCGAUACUGACGCUGAGGAGCGAAAGCGUGGGGAGCGAACAGG